rnacentral:sRNA from 1 species
UCAUUCAUAUUGAGUUAUAAGGCGCC